GGCGAACUGCUCGGUGCCGGCGGUGUCCAGGAUCUCCAGCACGGAGGGGGACGAGUCCACCUCGAUCUCCUUGCGGUAGAAGUCCUCGAUGGUGGGGUCGUACUUCUCGAUGAAGGAGCUGUCCUGGAAGACACAAACUCAAGAGACGCUAGGUGUCAGUAAAGGAUUUAAAAAAAAAAGCAACUGAAGGCUGAAAAUCUGCAGAAAUGACCUUCCACAAGACUGCAAAUUACAGUAUUAGCCAUUGUUUGGCAAUCAGUGGGAUUUCCCAGACAAAGCACUUCUCCUGUACAUGUUGUUAUGAAAGUACGAUUGUACUCUUCCAUCCCACCGAGGAAUUGACUGGAAAAUCACAAAUAACUGCCACUUCCACGUUUAACCAAAACUCUGUCCCUUUUUCACACAUUCAAAUGUUGUCUUGGGCUAAAGGUUUCUAGCAUUCAGAGAAGAAUCCUUUUACUACAUCAACACACGAUUUUGUUUGUUUCUGGACACUAGAAAGCUCUGCUGGACAAUAGCUAAAGAGUGGGCCUUCGACCCUAUGGAACAUGCAGGUUCUAUCUCUUUCCUCUACCCUUUGUCUGUCUUGUCUAUUUGACUGUGAGCUCUCUGGGGCAGAGACUGUCUAUUACUCUAUGUUUGUACAGCACCUAUCACAAUGGGGUUUGUUCUUGGUCAGUUCCUAUGAAGAACAGGAGAGUGUUCUCCUGUCAAUUAAAAAACCAGCAAUUAAACUGUCCUGAUGAUGGCCAUGCUCCAUGGUCACAGUGCAUAAGUA